rnacentral:lncRNA from 1 species
UACAAAUAAAAAUAAAUAAACAGUGCUUUCUGUGACCCCAGUGAAUUUCCAUGACCCUUUUGGUCCUACCUUGAUAUGAGGGAACAUGCUCAGAGAGGUGAAGGGAUUUGCCCAAGGUCACACAGCAGAGGGGCUGAGCCUGGAAGAACUUUCCAUCCAGCACAAUCAAGGAAGCCUUCUCUCCACUUCCAUGUUUACCAUAGUCAAGAGCAACACAGCCCAGGAGGGGCCUCCAGAGGCCAAAGCCCCCUCCCCAUGCUGGGCCUCGCUCCUGCCCCUCCUCGCCUGAACAGUUCUGUCAUGUCCUCUUGAUUCUGCUAUGCAGGGCCAAAAACAUGAGUGAGUCAGCAAAGAACGGGUCACCAGAUCCAAGAGUCCCGGCAGCCCCCGAGGCCAGCCACAAAGCUUCAGUUCCCUCCACAGAUGCCAGCUCACUCUGUGGCCUCCUCUCUCUGGGAGCCUUCCCAGAUUUACCCCAACCAGUGCCCCUGUGUCUGUGCAAAUAUCUCCCCCAAAUCUCACGUCUACUUGAUGUACCCCCCAAGUGCCACCAGAAUGGGGGUGUCCUCGGCAUCCUGUGUCUCCCUAACACCUGCAGAAGCCAAUGGAUGCCAGUAAAAUGGAUAGGGGCUAAAGUGGGAGGAGGCCCUUUCUGCUGCAGGGGGCAGUGUGGUCUGAGCACAGACCACAUCCUGGGCACAUCCUAGUGCUAGGGUUCCCUAGCAUCAUCUGGACACUAGGAUAUGACGGAUGCACCCCGGGUUCCCUAGGAUCCCCCAGCACAGCCUGAUCCAGCGUCUGGGCCCUGCUGACAAGGCUUUGAAGCUGAUCCUUCCCACUCCCACUGACUCUGAUUUCUCUUCUAUCGCUGUCUGUGUUUCCCACUGAGUAGAGACAGCUGCUCAGCUGUGUCCCUAAGGCCAACCAUCAGGGUAAUGAAUAAAUGAAUGGGCACAAGCCCUUGUACAGAACUUGCAGCACAUGACCACCCAACUAGAGCACAUCCUCAAAAUCUGGGCCACAGAUGGGGAAACGGGAGCCCAGACAGGCGGAGGAGUUAGGUGAGACUCACACAUCAGAAUGACAGCCUGGGUUCCAGCAAUAAAGAUGGUGAGCAUGGCUGCCAAACACGGCAUCCAGCCAAGGACUUCCCCUUGGACCAGGACACAGAAGACAAGGGAGGAGCAGAGCCCUAGCAGGAUACUAAAUGGGUCUAUGUGACUUUAGGGACCCUCUGCUUUUGGACUAGCCUGGAACCCAGGUUCAGUCCUGCUGACCUGGCACUGGAAGGGAGGCAGGGUGCUGGCACCCACGAGCAAGCCACAGCCAAGCAGACUGAUCUCGGCUGGGAUUACAGGUGUGAGCCACUGCGUCUGGCCCCAAGUAACUUUUUAACACAGUUCUUCAACUGCAUACCUUCAAUCUAAGAUGGAGUCUCACUCUGUCGCCCAGGCUGAAGUGCAGUGG